rnacentral:rRNA from 1 species
AGUGAACGCUGGCCGUAGGCCUAACACAUGCAAGUCGAACGGCAGCACAGUAAGAGCUUGCUCUUACGGGUGGCGAGUGGCGGACGGGUGAGGAAUACAUCGGAAUCUACUUUUUCGUGGGGGAUAACGUAGGGAAACUUACGCUAAUACCGCAUACGACCUACGGGUGAAAGCAGGGGAUCUUCGGACCUUGCGCGAUUGAAUGAGCCGAUGUCGGAUUAGCUAGUUGGCGGGGUAAAGGCCCACCAAGGCGACGAUCCGUAGCUGGUCUGAGAGGAUGAUCAGCCACACUGGAACUGAGACACGGUCCAGACUCCUACGGGAGGCAGCAGUGGGGAAUAUUGGACAAUGGGCGCAAGCCUGAUCCAGCCAUACCGCGUGGGUGAAGAAGGCCUUCGGGUUGUAAAGCCCUUUUGUUGGGAAAGAAAAGCAGCAGGUUAAUACCCCGCUGUUCUGACGGUACCCAAAGAAUAAGCACCGGCUGACUUCGUG